UUGCGGGGUGGAGCAGUCUGGUAGCUCGUCGGGCUCAUAACCCGAAGGUCGUUGGUUCAAAUCCAGCCCCCGCUACCAC
rnacentral:tRNA from 3 species